CAAAGAAGAAGUUGAACAGGGCUGUGCGUUGCGUUUUCUCAGAAGCCACAGAUUCAUUCUUCGUGUGACGUGGGCUCCCUGCUGGCGCCAAGGAUGCUUGUGUCCGAUGCGCAGCACCAUUUCUCGGGCGACUCAACAUCGAGGCGAGGUUCCUGCACCAGGGCCCUCUUCUUUGCGUCAAUCUCGUUCACCGCUGUUCUCUUGCUGGCCGCCACGCUCGCUACGCGUACCGCGCAGUUUUGGAUGAAUUCCACGCUGGAGCUUCGACGGAGUAAACCAGCCAACACACGAGACGGAAAUUCAAGUAUCAGAGAGCCAUCCACGACACCCGUACAACCAAGAUUUGUUCCGGAGGAAUACUUCGUUGACUGAUUGCUGAAACCAGCGCCUUGCGCACUGGCACGUGGAAUCUUAGUUUGCGCAGAUAGUAAAUGUUGCCUAAAAUAGUGCAUAACACACCAAGAUGACGCGAUUGCGCGAAGUUUAUAUUUUAUCGACGAAGCUAUGUAUAAAGGUCUUGUCCAAACUU